ACUCUCAUUUCAUACUGCUGUUGAUGAUGUGAAUUUUGGAAAUAUUCUCCCCUAUUGGGUCUUUCUCCAUGACAGAUGAUGUCCUUUGGCUUCGGUUUUUUGCCUAAGAACUGUAAGUGGUGCUUGCUAGCCCUACUAAGAAUCCUGCCAUUGUUGCAAAUUUCAGAAAAAAGGUAAUGCAUUUAAGGAACUUUUCCCUUUGUUACAAUUAUUUUCUUUCUAUAUUAAGUAGCUUAUAAUUAGGAUAAAGAGAUUACAGAAACAGGGAUGGAGAAGGACGGGUUGAGGGGAGGAGAGAGAGUGCUGGAGAGACAAUAUCAUCACUAGGAAAAGACAUGAGUAAAAAAAUAGCGCAAACAAGAAUUAUGCUCCUCAAAAAAGAGCUUUCUGGUCACCUUGCAAGGAUUCUAUAAAAGUUACAGGUUACAAUCGAAAUAAGUAAAAUAUUUAGUUAACAAGGAAAUGUGCAUCGUGCACAUAAUUACUGAAAGUUAUUACCAGUCACUGUGGUAGGAACUGGGGAUUAGAGAGAGAACGGAUCUGUAGUUCUAGCCUCAAGGAGUUACUGUUUAGCAUUAGAGGCAAAAUGAAAAAGUACUCAUUGUUUCUGCCCAUGUUUGCAAAAAGGGGACAAGUUAUUGGUCCCCAAAGUAAAUGAGAUAAUGAGAAAAAACUUCAGGGAAAAAACUGAGAAUACUAUAGCUGAUUAACUUACUGUUUAGUUCUCUUAAAAAUAUCUACCUUCUUAUCAUUAUAAUUCUGGAAUGAAAAUCAGGAGGACUGCCUAGUACUGCCAAUUCUGACAGUGAUCUGGUAAGACAUUUUCAAUUAUUUCCUCUGUAAAUGUUUUAAUAUCAGAUUAGAAAUGUGUUUCUACUUUCUAAUUUGUAACGUAAGACUUCAAAAUCUGUUUGAAAACUACUGUAGAAAGUCUGUGUUGAAGGAUAAAAUUCCCCGAUAUUUUAGAAUGGACUCUUUGCAUUCAAUUAAUUUAUUAGUUAAAGACAGUGAUUAAUGCAUCCUAAAAUAUUUAGGGAUGUAGUCUUUUCUAAUUAUUUCACUAUAGCAUAGAAGAAUUGCUAUUAAGAGUUGGCCAACAGGCCAGGUGCAAUGGCUCAUGCCUGUAAUCCCAGCACUUUGGGAGGCUGAGGCUGGAUCACUUGAGCCCAGGAGUUUGAGACCAGCUUGGGCAAAAUGGCAAAACUCUGUCUCUGCAAAAA
rnacentral:lncRNA from 1 species